GGAUGAGCCCGCGGCCUAUCAGCUUGUUGGUGAGGUAAUGGCUCACCAAGGCGACGACGGGUAGCCGGCCUGAGAGGGCGACCGGCCACACUGGGACUGAGACACGGCCCAGACUCCUACGGGAGGCAGCAGUGGGGAAUAUUGCACAAUGGGCGAAAGCCUGAUGCAGCGACGCCGCGUGAGGGAUGACGGCCUUCGGGUUGUAAACCUCUUUCAGCAGGGAAGAAGCGAAAGUGACGGUACCUGCAGAAGAAGCGCCGGCUAACUACGUGCCAGCAGCCGCGGUAAUACGUAGGGCGCAAGCGUUGUCCGGAAUUAUUGGGCGUAAAGAGCUCGUAGGCGGCUUGUCACGUCGGUUGUGAAAGCCCGGGGCUUAACCCCGGGUCUGCAGUCGAUACGGGCAGGCUAGAGUUCGGUAGGGGAGAUCGGAAUUCCUGGUGUAGCGGUGAAAUGCGCAGAUAUCAGGAGGAACACCGGUGGCGAAGGCGGAUCUCUGGGCCGAUACUGACGCUGAGGAGCGAAAGCGUGGGGAGCGAACAGGAUUAGAUACCCUGGUAGUCCACGCCGUAAACGGUGGGCACUAGGUGUGGGCAACAUUCCACGUUGUCCGUGCCGCAGCUAACGCAUUAAGUGCCCCGC
rnacentral:rRNA from 1 species